rnacentral:rRNA from 1 species
ACCCGUCUUGAAACACGGACCAAGGAGUCUAACAUGUGCGCGAGUCAAUGGGUUUUUAGACCUAGAGGCGCAAUGAAAGUGAAGGUCUCGCUCAGCGCGGGCCGAGGGAAGACGGGCCGCUCCUCAUCAGGACGGCCCCGCAUUCCCGGGGCGUCUUAUCCUUUGUCUGGCGAGGCGCACCCAGAGCGUACACGUUGGGACCCGAAAGAUGGUGAACUAUGCCUGGUCAGGACGAAGACAGGGGAAACCCUGUUGGAGGUCCGUAGCGAUUCUGACGUGCAAAUCGAUCGUCGGAACUGGGUAUAG